AGUGAACGCUGGCGGUAGGCCUAACACAUGCAAGUCGAACGGCAGCACAGAGGAGCUUGCUCCUUGGGUGGCGAGUGGCGGACGGGUGAGGAAUACAUCGGAAUCUACUCUGUCGUGGGGGAUAACGUAGGGAAACUUACGCUAAUACCGCAUACGACCUACGGGUGAAAGCAGGGGACCUUCGGGCCUUGCGCGAUUGAAUGAGCCGAUGUCGGAUUAGCUAGUUGGCGGGGUAAAGGCCCACCAAGGCGACGAUCCGUAGCUGGUCUGAGAGGAUGAUCAGCCACACUGGAACUGAGAAACGGGCCAGACUCCUACGGGAGGCAGCAGUGGGGAAUAUUGGACAAUGGGCGCAAGCCUGCUCCAGCCAUACCGCGUGGGUGAAGAAGUCCUUCGGGUUGUAAAGCCCUUUUGUUGGGAAAGAAAUCCAGCUGGCUAAUACCCGGUUGGGAUGACGGUACCCAAAGAAUAAGCACCGGCUAACUUCGUGCCAGCCGCCGCCGUAA
rnacentral:rRNA from 1 species